AUAAUUAUGUCACACACAUGGAUUGGUUACUGAGAAAGUCCAAGCUUAUUAAAUAUAUGUACAUUUACCUUUUAUUGUUGGCAUCUGUGUAGUGAUGCUUCUUGUUCAUCUGUACAGUCACAUUAAUCAUCAUAUGUAGUUUUGGACAGAAACCCUCUACUAAAAUGGGUUUCAAGUGUAUGUUUUGAUGACUGAGUCCGUAAAUCAUUAAUAGAAAAUUUUCUAUCUUUGUAUCGCCCUUUAUUAAAUACAGUUCUUAGCUGUCUAGAAUUGUCUUUCUUCUGCAUUGCAGGUGAAACUAUAACCCACUAGUCCACCACCAUCAGAACGGUCGGUUAUGUCACACACAUGGAUUGAUUACUGAGAAAGUUCGGUAACGACUUAUUUUAAAAUAACUUAAAGUUAAAAUAUAAGUUGACUUAGAAGUUAUUUUAAGUUGUGACUUGUACGUAAAAGCGUUCGGCAUCAUUUAUAAGUCAGAAAUUAAGUUAAAAUAAGUUAUGAAUGUGUUCGGCUGAUAAUGACUUAUAAGUUAAAAUCAAAUGUAAAGAUUACUAAAAAGGCAUUAAUAAAAAGAUAUAUAUUGAUUCAAUAUCAUAUCAUAUCAUAUCAUAUUCCAGAGUAAAAUCCUGAUCUAUUCCAGAGUAAAAUCCUGAUCUGCAGUAAACUGUGAGCCAUGGCAGCAAUGAGAAUCUAUAUUAAGCCUACAUUUGGACAUCCCUGGUAAAUGGUAAGGACACUUGCUUUUACAAAUUUAUUUCAAGAAUACAUAGAAAAACAAAUGAAUUCCUUUCAAGUAAUGUCCAAUUUCAAGUUAAUGCAGUUCCACCUAAAUGUUCAUAUACCUAAUCCCUGUGAUAUACAUGUAGAUUUCCACACCAGUAGCAUAUAAGGUCCCUUCCCAAGAAACCUUCCUUGCCCAUAAUGACAGUUUGAACUGGAAAAGAGAGGAAUAGUCCUUUUAUAUGACAGAUUAUCAAAUUCUUUCCUGGUUUGUACAGUAGUUUAUUGGAAAUUAUUUAGUGAAAAGUUUGUUAAGAUCUUCUGAGUUUUAGCAAUAAGAAAUCCUGACAUGAUGUGUGCAUAGGGACAAAGUACUAGAAGUCUAGAAUACCUGCCAAAUUAUGUCACUUCAAAGCAUGACUUCUAAUUUUAUUCUCAACAUCUUGCUCUUGUAAAACUAUAGCAAAUGAUUUAAUUAGCACAACUAUGUGAAAAAAUUAUCCAGCAGCAAUCAUUCAGUGAAACGUCACAUACAUCCUCUCCUCCUAUAUAUAAAUCACAUAAAAAUCAUGAAAUCACACAUUAAUGGCACAACUGACAGUCAAAUCAAUUACAUUCUCCUUCAACAAGUUACAUGACUGCUUAUCCAUUGUUUAGUUUUGGGUGCGGUGAUUAAUAAAUUGAAUCUCCAGUUGCUUUUCCCAAACUCAAAAAUGUAAAAAUGAAAAAUAAACAAAUACAUUAUCAAUGGAUAAUUGUGACCUUACUGCCCAAAUGACCAGAAAUAAAAAAGAAGACCAAAGAACAAUAUUCUAGUUUUCCAAUGGAACAAAUUUUAGGCAGCUUAGUCAAUCAUUCCACUUGGCUCCCAGUUUUCCACUUUUUUAAAAAGUUCUUUUUCACUUUAUACGUAAUCAAUAUGGACACACUACUUAGCUCAUGACUUAAUAUAAUCAUCACUGGUGAUUUCUUUUCUGAACAGUAUACAGUAAUACUCAUUGAGGAAUUUCAUCAAACAUGUACACUAUAAACUGCCAACUAAUUAAUAAAAACAACAUAUAAAUCAAUAAUCAAAGUUAAUGAAAAGUAAAGACUAUAAUCCUCAGUAUCAAUUAACACCUCAAUUCAAACAAGUAACUAACUACUUAUAAAGAAAACAAUCAUUUUUCUCCUAUAAUCUUGAACACCAAUAUUUCUCUACAAAUGUCAAAUGGGAUUGAAGUUUCACAAGAACGUGUGCCGAAAAAACUCACCAACCACCAUCAAACAUUUGAACCACAUAAAUUAACAAAAAAAUUGAUUUGAAUCGAAACCCACAGGCUCUGAUACUACAGUCAAAAUUAAAGAGGCAAAGAAGAAGAAAAACCACAUGCCAAAGAUUGAAACACAACAGAAUACACAUAUAUACAUAUCAAACAACAUGUGGUCUAGGGUUUGGUACCUAACAGCAAUAAAAGGAGUAGGAGUAGCAGGAGUAACAACUACGGAGGGAAGGAGGGAGAAGCCAAGAAAUUGACGUAUCGAGCGCAGAGAGAGUAAAGCAGAGCAUUAGCCGUUGUGUUUCGUUAGAAGAGAAUCAACAUAUUAGGUUUUUUAAGUUGAAGUGGGUAGAGAGGUAAUUUAGGUCGAAUCAACUUAUUAAGAAUAACUUACACCCCUCCGUCCGGUAUUAAACUUUCUAAUUUCCGGAUGUUCCUAAAUAAAUGUUAUAUUAUAUUAAUAACUAUUUUUAUCUUAUUCUUCCACUUAUACCCUCAUAAUCUUUUUAGUCAACUUUUGUUGAAAACUUAAAAAAAAGAUAAAAGGUUUACAUUGGAAAAUAAUGUAUUGUUAUUCUCUAAAUCAUCAUAAACAAAGUAUAACCAUGAACAAAUAAGAGAUAAAGUCUCAAUGAGUUAUAAAUGAACAAGUGUUAAUCAUUGAGUACAUACUUUCAAAACUGUAAAGGUACAUAAGCAAACUAAGGAAGUUUAGUUUGGAUUGACUUCAAGGGUAAUUUAGUUUAUAGAGCAUCAACUAAGAAUUAGUUGAAUUAAUAGAAGGAUCACUAGUCAACUAAGAGUUCGGUACAACAAUGUAAGAUAGUACAAUCAGUGGCGGAACCAGAACAUGUUUUUAGGAGGGUCAAAAUACAUCAGUUAAAAAAUUUAUUUAUUGACGCUUAAAGAGCUUCUUUCGGUUGUACGAGUGAGAGGAGGCAACACCUCGUUUAUUGUCUUCUUCAUUAAUACAUCAAUUUUGUUCAUUUAAAGGAACACCGCGUUUAUCAAAGUACUUAAUAAGCUCCGGCCGGAUCAGCCUCAUCAAGACUAUUCUAAGUAGGCUUCUCUUUUAAGCAUUUCAUCAAACACAUUAUGAGCCACACUAAUUUCAUGAGCAUUACCUGUUUUAAGAUUUCUACUCCUUGCCACCAAAACUAAGAACAACCUUUUACUCACAAAAUAUCCACUUUAAUCAAAAACCCAAGUACUAGUUUCUAAUUCUGCUACAGAUAUCUUCAAAUUUUAAACUUUUCAUAAAACCCAUUACAGAUCAUUCAUCAUAUCCCCAAUUACAAUCAAAUUACCCAACAAUCAAUAGACCAUCUCAACAGAAAAUAGCCGGGGACAACAUAAGUUACACAAUCCAUCACAUAUUCUAAAAUCUAGUGAUUCAAUUGAAGCUUGGGUUCCUUAAUUCAAUAUAACUUCACAGAAAAUACUCUUAAUUCUUGCUUUAAACCAAAAGAAGAGAUUAGAGGUUUAAGGACAUUAGGUAUAAAAAUGAAGAAGAACAAAAGAUUAC
rnacentral:lncRNA from 1 species